UACGGAGGGGGCUAGCGUUGUUCGGAAUUACUGGGCGUAAAGCGCGCGUAGGCGGACCUGCAAGUCGGGGGUGAAAGCCCGAGGCUCAACCUCGGAACUGCCUUCGAUACUGCGGGUCUCGAGUCCGGGAGAGGUGAGUGGAAUUCCUAGUGUAGAGGUGAAAUUCGUAGAUAUUAGGAAGAACACCAGUGGCGAAGGCGGCUCACUGGCCCGGUACUGGACGCUGAGGCGCGAAAAGCGUGGGGGAGCAAACAGGG
rnacentral:rRNA from 1 species